UGGUUUUUACCUUAUUACAUACAUAUUUUACAAUAAAUAAUUAAAAAAAAAAUUAAACCUAAUACAAAACCUAAGAGCCCCUCUCUCAUUCAAAUUUCUCCUCGAGUCUUUCUUUCCUCUCAUCCAAAUUUCUCACCGAGCCCCUCUUCUUCCCUCUCAAGUUCUUAUUCUUCCCUCUGAUCGAGCACCCUCUUCUUCCCUCUCGAGCUCUUGUUCUUGCCUCUCAUCGAGCCAUUGUUCUAAGUCCUUUUUCUGUAACCUCCAUUGAAACCCUAACCUCCACCGCAAACGUGUAUUUCACGUUACCCUCUCCUUAAACCCUAGCCUCCACCCGUGCUUCACUUCACUACAAGGUUGAGGGGACUGGAGACCGCUCCACCAGUCAUGCCUCCUCAUUGGCUCUCUUCUUGGUACCCUAACUCAUUCUCGGACUCACGUGGAGACGGCUAGAAUGGUAGUCGUCUCCAUUUCAGAGAUCGACGAGGAAACUAAGCGAACAGUGUGGAGCUCCACUAUGAGUAUGAUGGUGGUCGUUGCAGCCGUAACGCUCAUGAUUUUUCUCUCAUCGGCUUUAGCCGACGACGUCGUUGCACUNACCCAAAACACCUUCGAAAACGAGGUUGGCAAGGAUCGUGCGGCUCUCAUUGAGUUUUAUGCCCCCUCCUUGCCCCGGAGUACGAACAACUCGGAACGAGUUUCAGGAAAACGAAGUCGGUUUUGAUUGCGAAGGUGGAUUGUGAUGAACAUAAAAGCGUUUGCAGUAAAUACGGGGUUUCUUGCUACCAUACCAUUCAAUUUUUUCCCAAGGGAUCUCUACAGCCAAAAAAAGUAUGAAGGUGCACGGACUGCUGAAGGAUUGCUGAAGCCCUUGUUGCGUUUGUGAACCUUGAAGCAGGUACUAAUGUGAAGAUAGCUUCUGCUCCAUCCAGCGUGGUAAUUCUCUCCCCAGAUAACUUUGAUGAGGUUGUCUUGGAUGAAACAAAAGAUGUUCUGGUGGAAAUCUAUGCAGCAUGCUAAGUGUGUUCACUGCAAGGCCCUUGCCACUGUAAGGAUGUGUUCGUUCCUGAGACUCCUAUUAUAGCUUAUGGUUAUUGUAUCUUAAGCUUCACUUGCCCGUGAUCAUGUCAAAGGACUAUAAUGAGAUGCCAUUAGCUUAUAGGCCUUCCCAUGCAGAUGCCACCUAUGACAUGAAGCAUGGUGUCAGAUCAGUUCAGGGUGGUGGUAGUUCUUCUGCAAGAGAAACAAUUGGAAGGGUUGCUUCGGGCGCUGUUGCUAAGAAAAUCCUUAAAGAUUUUUCUGGAACUGAGGUAUG